rnacentral:lncRNA from 1 species
UGAUUUGCUUGUUCAUACUCAUUACUACCGUUUUUCAAUAUAUCUCUGAUAGUUUGAUGAUUUAAAUUGCAGUUGCUUGGAGGAAACCCAGCAGGGUAAGUGCUCUAUCUUUCAAAACAUACAUAAUCUUGGAAACAGUCUUCCUUAUAUUGAUGGAUGCUCUGUUGUUCGUUCAUUACAGAGAGAUGAGCAAGAACGCUCUUAAAAACAAGAAGACGAGGGAGAAGAAGAAAGCAGCCGAGGCUGCUGCUUCUGGGGCUAACAAUGCCUGAUUGAAGAAGUCACACCC